rnacentral:rRNA from 1 species
CACGUAGGGCGCGAGCGUUGUCCGGAGUUACUGGGCGUAAAGCGCACGCAGGCGGUCUGCUAAGUUUGGAGUGACAGUUGGUGGCUUAACUGCCAAAGUGCUUCGAAAACUGACAGACUUGAGGGCUUCAGAGGGACACGGAAUUCCGGGUGGAGUGGUGAAAUGCGUAGAGAUCCGGAAGAACACCGGUGGCGAAGGCGGUCUGCUGGGCAGUAGCUGACGCUGAGGCGCGACAGCGUGGGGAGCAAACAGG